rnacentral:rRNA from 1 species
GGUUAUAGCCAAAUCUCGUUGUCAAAGCCUGAGUCUGUCAAAUCUCAGAAUCUAAGCAGGGCUGGGCCUGGUUAGUACUUGGAAGGGAGACUGCUGGGAAUACUACGUGCUGCAGUGG